CCUACGGGUGGUUGCAGUGGGGAAUAUUGGACAAUGGGCGAAAGCCUGAUCCAGCCAUGCCGCGUGUGUGAAGAAGGCCUUCGGGUUGUAAAGCACUUUCAGUGGGGAAGAAAGCCUUGGGGCUAAUACCCUCGAGGAAGGACAUCACCCACAGAAGAAGCACCGGCUAACUCCGUGCCAGCAGCCGCGGUAAUACGGAGGGUGCGAGCGUUAAUCGGAAUUACUGGGCGUAAAGCGCGCGUAGGCGGUCUGAUAAGCCGGUUGUGAAAGCCCCGGGCUCAACCUGGGAACGGCAUCCGGAACUGUCAGGCUAGAGUGCAGGAGAGGAAGGUAGAAUUCCCGGUGUAGCGGUGAAAUGCGUAGAGAUCGGGAGGAAUACCAGUGGCGAAGGCGGCCUUCUGGACUGACACUGACGCUGAAGUGCGAAAGCGUGGGUAGCAAACAGGAUUAGAUACCCCUGUAGUC
rnacentral:rRNA from 1 species